CCCAGGCGUCGAGUGGCGGACGGGUGAGUAAUGCUUGGGAAUCUGCCCAAUAGCGGGGGAUAACUCGAGGAAACUCGAGCUAAUACCGCAUACGCCCUACGGGGGAAAGCGGGGGAUCUUCGGACCUCGCACUAUUGGAUGAGCCCAAGUCGGAUUAGCUUGUUGGUAGGGUAACGGCCUACCAAGGCGACGAUCCGUAGCUGGUCUGAGAGGACGAUCAGCCACACCGGAACUGAGACACGGUCCGG
rnacentral:rRNA from 1 species